rnacentral:misc_RNA from 1 species
AACGCACAUUGCGCCCAUUGGUAUUCCGAUGGGCAUGCCUGUUCGAGCGUCAUUAUCCUCCCUCAAACCUCGGGGUUUGGUGUUGGACCAACGUUGUGUGUUGAACAACUGGUCUUAAAGGCAAUGACGGCGUCCGUGGGACCCUCGGUGCAACGAGCUUUUCGAAGCAUGCGUCGAGUUGAAGGACCCUCGAGGCCGGUCUCCCUAUAUUCACUUUCAGGUUGACCUCGGAUCAGGUAGGAAUACCCGCUGAACUUAA